CCCGGCCCUGCUGUCGGCUCACCUUCCUUGGUGUUUUGCUUAUAGAGUCCAGUUAGGCUUCAUAAUUUGUUUUCUGAUUUCCAAAGCAGAGGGAUGUGAACGGAAAAGGGACCAGGCAGAGGGCAGAAACAAGGACAGAGUCUCAUAAAAGUACAGGUAAGCGUCAAAGCUGAUCUGUAGACAAGGAUGACCUCGCACUUUUGAUUCUCUGCCUUACGCUGGGAUUACAGGGAUGCACCACCACACCCAGUUCAUACACUGAAGGUCAACCCUGGCUUCAUACAUGUGCAGUCAACCGUGCCAACUUCCUUCUUCUGACUGCUGCCCACGGUCUGCUCUGAAUAAAAGGUAGGUGGUUCACUGAAGAAAUCCUUCACUUUUGAAAUUCAUGUGACCGUUCUGCUGCGUCGUCAUUUCGGAUUUCUUGACUCAGCUAC